AAGACUGUACUUUCAGGGAUAAUUUCUAUAGUUUGUUACUAGAGAAGUUUCUCUUAAUGUGUAGAGCACUGAGCCAAAAUAGACAAAUGGG
ensembl:snoRNA U3 Small nucleolar RNA U3